AGAAUCUUCCGCAAUGGGCGAAAGCCUGACGGAGCGACACCGCGUGCAGGAUGAAGGCCUUCGGGUUGUAAACUGCUGUCACGCUAUAGGAACCCCACGAUGUGAAUAGCAUCGUGGCUGACCAAAGCGAGAGGAAGCACCGGCCAACUCCGUGCCAGCACCCGCGGUAAGACGGAGGGUGCAAACGUUGUUCGGAAUCACUGGGCAUAAAGAGCUCAUAGGCGGCCCGCUAAGUCAGGUGUGAAAGCCCUCGGCUCGACCGAGGAAUUGCACUUGAUACUGAUGGGCUCGAGUCUGGUUGGGGUGAGCGGAACUCCAGGUGGAGCGGUGAAAUGCGUAGAUAUCUGGAGGAACACCGGUGGCGAAAGCGGCUCACUGGACCAGCACUGACGCUGAGGAGCGAAAGCUAGGGUAGCAAAC
rnacentral:rRNA from 1 species